UACGUAGGGUGCUAGCGUUGUCCGGAAUCAUUGGGCGUAAAGAGCGUGUAGGCGGCCCGGUAAGUCCGCUGUAAAAGUCAAAGGCUCAACCUUUGAAUGUCAGUGGAUACUGCCGGGCUAGAGUCCGGAAGAGGCGAGUGGAACUCCUGGUGUAGCGGUGGAAUGCGCAGAUAUCAGGAAGAACACCAGCGGCGAAGGCAGCUCGCUGGGACGGUACUGACGCUGAGACGCGAAAGCGUGGGGAGCGAACAGG
rnacentral:rRNA from 1 species